CCCUCUCCACCAAAUUCUUCCUCUCUCUCCCUCCCGAACUCUCCCCCACCGUGAAGCCCCCAUCGCCGGAUCGCCGCCGCGCCGUCGCCGCUUGCCUUCGCCACCGCCAAGCCAUACCACCUUCCCCGCCGUUCGCCGCCGCGCUACGUUCUAGCCGCUUUAGUCUAGAACCAAAUAACCCGCCUGCAUAAGGAAUCAGUCGCCACCGCCGCCGUCAGAACGUUUUGGUACAGUCAUGCACCCCGAGGAUAAUUUCGUGGAGUACUCUCUGAAUGGACGCCGUACCGAGGACGCAAGGACUAGUGAGGAGGCGAUGAGCUAGUGCUCGUGUAAUACCGUUUUUGGUAGAUAGUGUAAUUGCCUCUGUUCGGUGUAUGGUUUUUUUAAGGUAAUCGUAGUGGGUGUGCAUGUAAAAUUUAUGGACUCAAAAACAUCGGGAAUGUGUAAGUAUGUUCAUAUAUGGCAGGUGUAAAUAUGUGUGGAAAUGAAAUGUUUUAAGUAAUGUGGCGGUUGGGCGUGCUUAGUUA